GGGAGCGCGUCUGCCAUUGGUCUGUUGCUCUUGUGGGCGUAGUUUCUCACGCAUACAUAAGCUCACAGGCAGGACCGCCAGGGCGUUGCUGGAGUCAGUCCUCAGAGUUGAUCCGUGCCUGUCAGAUCCGGCAAAAUGCGUCUCUUUCUGGUAGUGUUCCUGGUCUUUGCGGUUCUUCUGGGACAGCUGUCCCAAGGGGAAGCGGUAGCAAGCAGACCAAGACCAAGACCAACACAGUGCUGCCCUCCCCAUUGCCCCUGCUGUGAUCCACACAAACCUUGUACUUGCUUCGUCCCGUGUCCACCGAAAUAUUAGACUGCUGUCCAGUGAUGUCAAUAGCUGUAUAUGGAAGUUCCCUCUUGAGGUGAUUUUGAAACUACCAAUGGAAACGAGGUGUUUGUUUGUCAAAUAAUCAAGAGAUUUAACACUUGAA